rnacentral:rRNA from 1 species
AUAUCAAUAAGCGGAGGAAAAGAAACUAACAAGGAUUCCCCUAGUAACGGCGAGUGAAGCGGGAUGAGCUCAAAUUUGAAAGCUGGCCUCACGGUCCGCAUUGUAAUUUCGAGAGAUGUUUUUUCCGCGUUGGACCACGUACAAGUCUCCUGGAAAGGAGUGUCAUAGAGGGUGAUAACCCCUACUUGAUGUGGACGCCCAAGGCUUUGUGAUACAUCUUCGACGAGUCGAGUUGUUUGGGAAUGCAGCUCCAAAUGGGUGGUAAAUUCCAUCUAAAGCUAAAUAUUGGGGAGAGACCGAUAGCGCACAAGUAA